CAGUAGUUCAGGAUGAGUUCUUCUAGUGAAACGACUCAAAGCACAGCUCCUCAACGCAGUAUCAUAGGUUGCAGAUCGACAAAUAAAGCUGAAUUCGUUUAGACAUCUUUGCAAGAGAAGAAUGCAGACGAAAGGUUGAAAAUCGAAGCUGGUACAGGCACGAACCAGGUUGUUCGUCGCCGUUCUGUCUCGUAGACAUAGUUCCUGACAUUUUUCUAAAACUCUAAAGGGUGGUGCCGAGUCUCUCACCUAAGAUGAGCGAUAAUUACAGAGCAUACAGAUGGAGUUUAUCAAAUCAAAAAGAGGAAGUCUUAUUUCGUGCUGGAUUGUUAAACAAUCGAAUAAGUUAUCAUUGACUUACCAUUGACCACUACUCUCAGAGUAGCAAGGAGAGAAAUUGAUUGCAAUCCUCUUCUUCGUGCAAGUACUUAAAUGGUCCUUCAUUUCCAAUCAAUAAUUACUGGAUUCAAUGACCAUUGAAACUUUAAUGAUCCUCCAAAGUUCGAACGAAGCCGAAGCACGCAAGCCAGUUACGAUAAUCAAGCAGAUAAUGGACAAGUAAUAAUGUAAUGCUUGAAAGUUGGAAACACGGUCCGUUGCUUUUACGGGCGUGUGCUGGUCCUUUGCCCUCGUGUAUGUACACACACACACACAUUCGGAGAAAAAGGUUCAUGGGGGUGCGAGCAUGUGGAGGUGUUCAGGGAGAUUAAAAUAAAAAGAAGAUGGUUGUAUAAAUUAACCCCUUUGAUCCAGGGCCUCGUACAUCCAUGAAAAUUGGAUUAGAAAUAUAUGACGAUACCUUAUUAACGUGUUUACACGGAUCUUCAAGCCCACCACUAGAUGUUCUUCCGUUCAAUGUCGAAGGCCUCGGAAGAAACGAUCUUCAACCGUCUACUGUUAAAAAAAAAAAGAUGAUAUAAUCCCAGUAAAAAGUCACCAGAACCGACCAUCCAACGCGAAUGGCACCUGUAAUCAAACUGGCGGUCAAAAUCAACGCAAACUGAAAAUAAUGGAUAACACCUGACAAACAGAUCUCAGAAGGGAUGGUACCAAGCUGUAGAUACUUUUGUAAAGGAAGAUUGAAGUUUGGGGAUGAUUAUGAGUGUGUAUGGCAUCGAAGACCCCCCGGGGAUACUAGUGUUGCAACGUUUGAGAAUCGG